CCUACGGGUGGCUGCAGUGGGGAAUAUUGCACAAUGGGGGGAACCUUGAUGCAGCAACGCCGCGUGGGUGAAGAAGUACUCCGGUAUGUAAAGCCCUGUCAGCAGGGAAGAAAAUGACGGUACCUGACCAAGAAGCCCCGGCUAACUACGUACCAGCAGCCGCGGCAAUACGUGGGGGGCCAGCGUUAUCCGGAUUUACUGGGGGUAAUGGGAGCGUAGACGGUAAUGCAAGUCUGGAGUGAAAGCCCGUGGCCCAACCACGGGACUGCUUUGGAAAAUGUGUGGCUUGAGUGCAGGAGGGGUAAGCGGAAUGCCUAGUGUAGCGGUGAAAUGCUUAGAUAUUAGGAGGAACACCGGUGGCGAAGGCGGCUUGCUGGACUGUAACUGACGUUGAGGCUCGAAGGCGUGGGGAGCAAACAGGAUUAGAUACCCCGGUAGUC
rnacentral:rRNA from 1 species